GAGGGUGUAGCUCAGUGGCAGAGUUCUUGCCUAGUAAGCAUAAAGCCCUGGGUUCAAUCCCCAGUAUCAAUG
rnacentral:tRNA from 1 species